rnacentral:lncRNA from 1 species
CCUCCCCUUUAUGCCCGCGCCUCCGUGUACGGCCCGCCCAUAGCUCGUUCGACGGCGCCGCCUAGGAACGCGGAGAAAAUAUGACAAAGGAACAGCCAAAAAUAAAAAGAAAGACCUUUCUUUUGAAAAAACAAACAAGAAAAGGAAUGCAACACGAGGACUUCCCAGGAGGUCACCCAUCCCAGUACUACUCUCGCCCAAGCACGCUUAACUUCGGAGUUCUGAUGGGAUCCGGUGCUUUAGUGCUGGUAUGAUCGCAUCCGACAUACCGUGCGUUCUCCUCCCCUUUAUGCCCGCGCCUCCGUGUACGGCCCGCCCAUAGCUCGUUCGACGGCGCCGCCUAGGAACGCGGAGAAAAUAUGACAAAAGAACGGCCAAAAAUAAAAAGAAAGACCUUUCUUUUGAAAAAACAAACAAAAAAAGGAAUGCAACACGAGGACUUCCCAAGAGGUUACCCAUCCCAGUACUACUCUCGCCCAAGCACGCUUAACUUCGGAGUUCUGAUGGGAUCCGGUGCUUUAGUGCUGGUAUGAUCGCAUCCGAUAUACCGUGCGUUCUCCUCCCCUUUAUGCCCGCGCCUCCGUGUACGGCCCGCCCAUAGCUCGUUCGACGGCGCCGCCUAGGAACGCGGAGAAAAUAUGACAAAGGAACAGCCAAAAAUAAAAAGAAAGACCUUUCUUUUGAAAAAACAAACAAAAAAAAAGGAAUGCAACACGAGGACUUCCCAGGAGGUCACCCAUCCCAGUACUACUCUCGCCCAAGCACGCUUAACUUCGGAGUUCUGAUGGGAUCCGGUGCUUUAGUGCUGGUAUGAUCGCAUCCGACAUACCGUGCGUUCUCCUCCCCUUUAUGCCCGCGCCUCCGUGUACGGCCCGCCCAUAGCUCCAUCGACGGCGCCGCCUAGGAACGCGGAGAAAAUAUGACAAAGGAACGGCCAAAAAUAAAAAGAAAGACCUUUCUUUUGAAAAAACAAACAAAUAAAAGGAAUGCAACACGAGGACUUCCCAGG